GACGAACGCUGGCGGCGUGCUUAACACAUGCAAGUCGAACGGAGCGAAUGAAAGCUUGCUUUUAUGAGCUUAGUGGCAAACGGGUGAGUAACACGUAGACAACCUGCCGACAGGAUGGGGACAACAUUCCGAAAGGAAUGCUAAUACCGAAUGAAGCGGAGGAGAGGCAUCUCUCCUCCGUGAAAGAUGGCCUCUGAACAUGCUAUCACCUGUCGAUGGGUCUGCGUCUGAUUAGCUAGUUGGUGAGGUAACGGCUCACCAAGGCGACGAUCAGUAGCCGGUCUGAGAGGAUGAACGGCCACAUUGGGACUGAGACACGGUCCAGACUCCUACGGGAGGCAGCAGUGGGGAAUCUUCCGCAAUGGGCGCAAGCCUGACGGAGCAACGCCGCGUGAGUGAAGAAGGUCUUCGGAUCGUAAAGCUCUGUUGACGGGGACGAACGUACGGAGUGCGAAU
rnacentral:rRNA from 1 species